rnacentral:misc_RNA from 1 species
CAGAGUUCUUUAACGAGACUCCCAAACCAUUGUGAACCUACCCGUCAUCGUUGCCUCGGCGGGCGUCCCCUCCCUGGGGACGCGGCCCUUCGGGGUGCCCGCCGGUGGCCUACCAGACUCUUUUUGUAUUCUAGUGGACUCUCUGAGAAAACAAGCAAAUAAGUUA